GGUAACCUGCCUCAAAGUGGGGAAUAGCCCUCCGAAAGGAGGAUUAAUACCGCAUAACGUAAGAGUAUCGCAUGGUACUUUUACCAAAGAUUUAUCGCUUUGAGAUGGACCCGCGGCGCAUUAGCUAGUUGGUGAGGUAAUGGCUCACCAAGGCAACGAUGCGUAGCCGACCUGAGAGGGUGAUCGGCCACAUUGGAACUGAGACACGGUCCAGACUCCUACGGGAGGCAGCAGUGGGGAAUAUUGCGCAAUGGGGGAAACCCUGACGCAGCAACGCCGCGUGAGUGAUGAAGGUCUUCGGAUUGUAAAGCUCUGUUUUCUAGGACGAUAAUGACGGUACUAGAGGAGGAAGCCACGGCUAACUACGUGCCAGCAGCCGCGGUAAUACGUAGGUGGCGAGCGUUGUCCGGAUUUACUGGGCGUAAAGGGUGCGUAGGCGGAUUCUUAAGUGGGAUGUGAAAUACCCGGGCUUAACUUGGGUGCUGCAUUCCAAACUGGGAAUCUAGAGUGCAGGAGAGGAAAGUGGAAUUCCUAGUGUAGCGGUGAAAUGCGUAGAGAUUAGGAAGAACACCAGUGGCGAAGGCGACUUUCUGGACUGUAACUGACGCUGAGGCACGAAAGCGUGGGUAGCAAACAGGAUUAGAUACCCUGGUAGUCCACGCCGUAAACGAUGGAUACUAGGUGUAGGAGGUAUCGACCCCUUCUGUGCCGCAGUUAACGCAAUAAGUAUCCCGCCUGGGGAGUACGGUCGCAAGAUUAAAACUCAAAGGAAUUGACGGGGGCCCGCACAAGCAGCGGAGCAUGUGGUUUAAUUCGAAGCAACGCGAAGAACCUUACCUGGACUUGACAUCCCUUGCAUAACCUAGAGAUAGGCGAAGCCCUUCGGGGCAAGGAGACAGG
rnacentral:rRNA from 1 species